UGCAAGUCGAACGGUAACAUGAGAGCUUGCUCUUGAUGACGAGUGGCGCACGGGCGCGUAACGCGUAUGGAACUUACCCCAAACUGGAGAAUAGCCUUUAGAAAUGAAGAAUAAUACUCCAUAGUAUUCCGAGAAGGCAUCUUCUUGGUCUUAAAGCUUCGGCGGUUUGGGAUAGCCAUGCGUUCUAUUAGUUAGUUGGUGAGGUAACGGCUCACCAAGACCGCGAUAGAUAGGGGGCCUGAGAGGGUUAUCCCCCACACUGGUACUGAGACACGGACCAGACUCCUACGGGAGGCAGCAGUGAGGAAUAUUCCACAAUGGACGAAAGUCUGAUGGAGCCAUGCCGCGUGCAGGAUGAAUGCCCUAUGGGUUGUAAACUGCUUUUAUAUAGGAAGAACAUUUUCUACGUGUAGAGAACUGACGGUACUAUAAGAAUAAGGACCGGCUAACUCCGUGCCAGCAGCCGCGGUAAUACGGAGGGUCCAAGCGUUAUCCGGAUUCAUUGGGUUUAAAGGGUCCGUAGGCGGGAAAAUAAGUCAGUGGUGAAAGCCUACAGCUUAACUGUAGAACUGCCAUUGAAACUGUUUUUCUUGAAUUUAGAUGAAGUGGGCGGAAUAUAUCAUGUAGCGGUGAAAUGCAUAGAUAUGAUAUAGAACACCGAUUGCGAAGGCAGCUCACUAAACUAAUAUUGACGCUGAGGGACGAAAGCGUGGGGAGCGAACAGGAUUAGAUACCCUGGUAGUCCACGCCGUANACGAUGAUUACUCGGUGCUAGCGAUAUACUGUUAGUGCCUAAGCGAAAGCGAUAAGUAAUCCACCUGGGGAGUACGGUCGCAAGAUUGAAACUCAAAGGAAUUGACGGGGGCCCGCACAAGCGGUGGAGCAUGUGGUUUAAUUCGAUG
rnacentral:rRNA from 1 species